rnacentral:SRP_RNA from 1 species
CGUUUGGGUCUUACGCAAUGGGAAUCUGUGAACCGUGUCAGGGCAGGAAUGCAGCAGCACUAAGCGGAACCUCUCAUGUGCCGUAAGGUCGCCUGGACUGAGC